AUCACUUGAUUGGAAUGAGUUACAAACUAUCUUCAGGACUCUGAAAUAGGAGCUUCCCAAGCAGCUAACAGCAAAAUUGCAGAACAGCUGUUAGCUUGACUGGUGGAACAUCAAGACAAUUAAAAAGAAGAAAGGAUUGUUAACACCUGUGGAAUAAAGAGUGUAGAAAGGAUCAGGUGGAUUAUAAUGAGCCAAGAAGUCAAUUGACUCCCUCAGCACUGCCUGACUAGAAAUGCUGCUGCCAUUGCCAGGAGCAGCAAGGUGCAGCAGGAAUCAAAGGGAGGUGCAAGUGCCACAGUGCACCCCCUUGGAUCUGCUCCUGUGCACAGGUGAGAAUUUGGUCCAUUGAGUAGAUAGCCUGUGCUGACCAAGCACCUUUCUUCCAGAUUAAGAGAACAAAACAAGAAAGAACAGAAGCAACGUUGCCAGGAGGGGGCACUGGGGAACAGUCAUCUCUUCUGUCUACAGUCUUCACUUCACUUCCCUUCUUCAAAUGGAUGCCUGAAGCUAUAGGCAAACAAUUCCUAUAGCACUAAAGAUCCAGUGCAUAGGAAAAUAAGCCCUAACAAAUAUAAGUUUCAGAAUGUAAAGCUCUUAGGUUGACGACCACCAGACCAAGAGCUAGCUUUGUCUGAACUUUAAUGGAGGGAACAGAUGCUUUUUAAACUAUUAAAAUCUUUCACAGCAGAUAAUUUCUUAACAGGGAGCUGCAUUGGGCAUGCUCUGUCUCUCCUUUCCACUGAAGGAAAGACAUGCGUUGCUAACAGUAGUAGGCAACAAAUAGCAUGAAGAGUGGAGAAGCAGCUUGAUAUGUGAAAAAGUAAGCUCCCUUUUAUGUGGCAGAGGAAACUUUCCAAGGCCUCAAAAUGCAUGUGAUGACAAGCAGAUAAAAAUCUUCCUUUUUAUAUACUGAAA